AAAAUGGAGAGUUUGAUCCUGGCUCAGGAUGAACGCUGGCGGUAUGCUUAACACAUGCAAGUCGAACGGUCUUUUCGGAGAUAGUGGCGGACGGGUGAGUAACGCGUAAGAAUCUACCUUCAGGUUGGGGACAACCAGUGGAAACGGUGGCUAAUACCCAAUGUGCCGAGAGGUGAAAGGCUUGCUGCCUGAAGAAGAGCUUGCGUCUGAUUAGCUAGUUGGUGGGG
rnacentral:ncRNA from 1 species